rnacentral:rRNA from 1 species
UGCGCGAGGGAUGAAGGCCUUCGGGUCGUAAACCUCUGUCAGAGGGAAGAACCGCCAUGGUGUUAAUCAGCCAUGGUCUGACGGUACCUCCAAAGGMAGCCCGGCUAACUCCGUGCCAGCAGCCGCGGUAAUACGGAGGGUGCAAGCGUUAAUCGGAAUACUGGGCGUAAAGCGCACGUAGGCUGUUUGGUAAGUCAGGGGUGAAAUCCCGCGGCUCACCGCGGAAUUGCCCUUGAUACUGCUGGACUUGAGUUCGGGAGAGGGUGGCGGAAUUCCA